UACGGAAGGGGGCUAGCGUUGUUCGGAAUCGACUGGCGCAAGCGCACGUAGGCGGAUCUUUAAGUCAGAGGUGAAAUCCCAAGGCUCAACCUUGGAACUGCCUUUGAUACUGGGGAUCUUGAGUCCGGGAGAGGUGAGUGGAACUGCGAGUGUAGAGGUGAAAUUCGUAGAUAUUCGGAGGAACACCAGUGGCGAAGGCGGCCCACUGGCUCGACACUGACGCUGAGGUGCGAAAGCGUGGGGAGCAAACAGG
rnacentral:rRNA from 1 species